GACGAACGCUGGCGGCGUGCUUAACACAUGCAAGUCGAACGGACAGGCCCUGCGUUUGUGGCUUUCUCGAUUGCCGAACGGGUGAGUAACACGUGAGUAACCUCCCCUUGUAUUUGGGAUAACUCCUGGAAACUGGGGCUAAUACCGGAUAGGAGCUCCUGCUGCACGGUGGGGGUUGGAGAAAGUCGGCGGUUGGGGAUGGUCUCGCGGCUUAUCGGCUUGUUUGUGGGGUAGGGGCUUACCAAGGCUUUGACGGGUAGCCGGCCUGGGAGGGGGACCGGCGACAUUGGGCCUGAGAUACGGCCCAGACUCCUACGGGAGGCAGCAGUGGGGAAUAUUGCACAAUGGGCGGAAGCCUGAUGCAGCAACGCCGCGUGCGGGAUGACGGCCUUCGGGUUGUAAACCGCUUUCGCCGGUGCCGAAGCGUGAGUGACGGUAAUGGGUAAAGAAGCACCGGCUAACUACGUG
rnacentral:rRNA from 1 species